GAUGAAGAACGCAGCGAAAUGCGAUAAGUAAUGUGAAUUGCAGAAUUCAGUGAAUCAUCGAAUCUUUGAACGCACAUUGUGCCCCUUGGUAUUCCGAGGGGCAUGCCUGUUCGAGCGUCAUUAUCACCCCUCAAGCUUUGCUUGGUGUUGGGGCCUGCUGUAAUAGGCAGCCCUUAAAAUCAGUGGCGGUGCUUCAAGGCUCUAAGCGUAGUAAUUCUCCUCGCUAUAGUGUCUAGUGGUUGCCAGCCAGAACCCCCCAAUUUUCAUGAUUGACCUCGGAUCAGGUAGGGAUACCCGCUGAACUUAAGCAUAUCAAUAAGCGGAGGA
rnacentral:misc_RNA from 1 species